AACGAACGCUGGCGGCAUGCCUAACGCAUGCAAGUCGAACGAGACCUUCGGGUCUAGUGGCGCACGGGUGCGUAACGCGUGGGAAUCUGCCCUUGGGUGCGGAAUAACAGUUAGAAAUGACUGCUAAUACCGCAUAAUGACUCCGGUCCAAAGAUUUAUCGCCCAAGGAUGAGCCCGCGUCGGAUUAGCUAGUUGGUGAGGUAAAAGCUCACCAAGGCGACGAUCCGUAGCUGGGCUGAGAUGAUGAUCAGCCACACUGGGCCUGGGACACGGCCCAGACUCCUACGGGAGGAAGCAGUGGGGAAUAUUGGACAAUGGGCGAAAGCCUGAGCCUGCAAUGCCGCGUGAGUGAUGAAGGCCUUAGGGUUGUAAAGCUCUUUUACCCGGGAUGAUAAUGACAGUACCGGGAGAAUAAGCCCCGGCUAACUCCGCGCCAGCCGCCGCGGUAAAAC
rnacentral:rRNA from 1 species